rnacentral:rRNA from 1 species
UACGUAGUUAGCCGGGGCUUCUUGGUCAGGUACUGUCAUUUUCUUCCCUGCUGACAGGGCUUUACGCACCGGAGUGCUUCUUCACCCACGCGGCAUUGCUGCAUCAGGGUUCCCCCAUUGUGCAAUAUUCCCCACUGCUGCCUCCCGCAGGAGUCUGGGCCGUGUCUCAGUCCCAAUGUGGCCGUCCACUCUCUCAAGCCGGCUACUGAUCAUCGUCUUGGUAGGCCGUUACCCUGCCAACUAACUAAUCAGACGCGGGCCCAUCCUGUACCACCGUGGUUUUCCCUGCUGUGCCAUGCGGCACCGCAGGCUUAUGCGGUAUUAGCAGCCAUUUCUGGCUGUUGUCCCCCGGUACAGGGCAGGUUGCCCACGCGUUACUCACCCGUCCGCCACUAGGUUUAUAUAUCUUCCCUCCGGAGAGUUCUGUUAUAUAAACCCCGUUCGACUUGCAUGUGUUAGGCAUGCCGCCAGCGUUCAUCCUGAGCCAGGAUCAAAC